AUUGAACGCUGGCGGCAUGCCUUACACAUGCAAGUCGAACGGCAGCAUGAUCUAGCUUGCUAGAUUGAUGGCGAGUGGCGAACGGGUGAGUAAUACAUCGGAACGUGCCCUGUAGUGGGGGAUAACUAGUCGAAAGAUUAGCUAAUACCGCAUACGACCUGAGGGUGAAAGUGGGGGACCGCAAGGCCUCAUGCUAUAGGAGCGGCCGAUGUCUGAUUAGCUAGUUGGUGGGGUAAAGGCCCACCAAGGC
rnacentral:rRNA from 1 species